UAGGGAAUCUUCCGCAAUGGGCGAAAGCCUGACGGAGCAACGCCGCGUGAGUGAUGAAGGUCUUCGGAUCGUAAAACUCUGUUAUUAGGGAAGAACAAAUGUGUAAGUAACUAUGCACGUCUUGACGGUACCUAAUCAGAAAGCCACGGCUAACUACGUGCCAGCAGCCGCGGUAAUACGUAGGUGGCAAGCGUUAUCCGGAAUUAUUGGGCGUAAAGCGCGCGUAGGCGGUUUUUUAAGUCUGAUGUGAAAGCCCACGGCUCAACCGUGGAGGGUCAUUGGAAACUGGAAAACUUGAGUGCAUAAGAGGAAAGUGGAAUUCCAUGUGUAGCGGUGAAAUGCGCAGAGAUAUGGCGGAACACCAGUGGCGAAGGCGACUUUCUGGUCUGUAACUGACGCUGAUGUGCGAAAGCGUGGGAAUCAAACAGG
rnacentral:rRNA from 1 species